GGGCCUGUACCGGUUUCGACGGGGAUUUUGAAGCACGAUAAGCGCGGCAAGCCGGGUAAUCUUGCAAACUGCCCAAACUUAAAAGUAAACGCUAAUAAUAACGAUUACGCAAUGGCUGCCUAACGGCAGUGCCGCGGCUUUUUAGCCGCCCGUCUUACCCGUGAGUAUCACGGCACGGGAUAAGGCGUCGACAAGUGAUGAACGUGAGCCGCAAUUUCGCCAUUGUAACGGCCACGCAUAAAAUGGCUACCUUUCCGAGAGCGUGUUUACCCGCGCUCGGACGGGGAAGCUCAAACGAUAAACUGUCCGCGAAGAAAGUCUUGUGAAUAGGUUUUCGGACACGGGUUCGACUCCCGCCAGGUCCACCA
rnacentral:tmRNA from 1 species